rnacentral:rRNA from 1 species
UACGUAGGGUGCGAGCGUUGUCCGGAAUUAUUGGGCGUAAAGAGCUUGUAGGCGGUUUGUCGCGUCUGCUGUGAAAUCCCGGGGCUCAACCCCGGAACUGCAUCCGAUACUGCCAUGCUAGAGGAUUGGAGAGGUAGCUGGAAUUCUUGGUGUAGCAGUGAAAUGCGUAGAGAUCAAGAGGAACACUCGUGGCGAAAGCGAGCUACUGGACAAUUCCUGACGCUGAGGCUCGAAGGCUAGGGUAGCGAAAGGG